rnacentral:rRNA from 1 species
UACGGAGGGUGCGAGCGUUGUCCGGAAUCAUUGGGCGUAAAGGGCGCGUAGGUGGCCCGGUCAGUUCGUGGUGAAAGCGCGGGGCUCAACCCUGCGUCGGCCAUGAAUACUGCCGCGGCUGGAGCACUGUAGAGGCAGGCGGAAUUCCGGGUGUAGCGGUGGAAUGCGUAGAGAUCCGGAAGAACACCGGUGGCGAAGGCGGCCUGCUGGGCAGUUGCUGACACUGAGGCGCGAAAGCUAGGGGAGCAAACAGG